CGUGGGUAACCUGCCCUGUACACACGGAUAACAUACCGAAAGGUAUGCUAAUACGAGAUAAUAUGCUUUUAUCGCAUGGUAGAAGUAUCAAAGCUUUUGCGGUACAGGAUGGACCCGCGUCUGAUUAGCUAGUUGGUAAGGUAACGGCUUACCAAGGCGACGAUCAGUAGCCGACCUGAGAGGGUGAUCGGCCACAUUGGAACUGAGACACGGUCCAAACUCCUACGGGAGGCAGCAGUGGGGAAUAUUGCACAAUGGGCGAAAGCCUGAUGCAGCAACGCCGCGUGAGCGAUGAAGGCCUUCGGGUCGUAAAGCUCUGUCCUCAAGGAAGAUAAUGACGGUACUUGAGGAGGAAGCCCCGGCUAACUACGUGCCAGCAGCCGCGGUAAUACGUAGGGGGCUAGCGUUAUCCGGAAUUACUGGGCGUAAAGGGUGCGUAGGUGGUUUCUUAAGUCAGAGGUGAAAGGCUACGGCUCAACC
rnacentral:rRNA from 1 species